AUUGCAAGAGCCAGGCACUUGAGGGAAGAAAAUAACAUAUUUUUCCAAAUUCCAAAAGCUUUUCUUUAAAUAUUCAGUACUACAGCUUGGAGGACUGAGUAUAAUUUUUUCCUAUAAAUUAAAAAGUUAGAAGAAUGUAGGAUACGACAAAUUCAAUUUCCUACCACACAGGAAGGCGAUCUCAAACUUUCUCAACGAGGACGUGGAGUUUGUGGGGAGAGGAGAGAGAGAGCAAGAUAAAGCAAAGGAGCCCGGGAGAAGAACACAAUAAAUUAUAUUCAAAUGGCAGCCAUGGAGGAAACUUUCCUUCCCUUCCUCAUCAACAAAGCUGAUCGAUGGGCGCUGAAGCCCCAGGGAAGCAGCAUCUGUUGUAACUCAAGGAUUCCUACUCGAGCUGAGGAUGAAAUUAACAGACGCAGAGCAGUUUGCAGCUCAGCAUUUGUUCAAGUCUGGCACAUGCACACAUCAUUAGCAACUAUAUUUGAGAACCAAGAUCAAGGAGGCCAAGCAAGCAGCAGACGUGGUCCUGCCUUCACGGAGAGCUUGGGAUCUAGGCAGCUGCAGGCAGAUGGUGCAUGGCAGGAGAGGUGAGUGAGGCAUGCCUGGACACACUCACACUCAAGAGGAUGUAUCUCACCCUUGAUUCGGCCUUGCAACCACAGACAGUUAUUGGCCACUAAUUCACUGCAAGACAACAAGGAAGGCCAACAUGGAAAACAGAGAAAGAUAUGGAAGCCUGGGUCCUGCCUUCAAGGUGCUUAUGAUACAUGAGAGAUGAGACAGAGAUGCAGGGGAAACAUCACAAUCAAAAUAUAGUAGAGGAGGAGGAUCCAAGAUAGCACUGUGAGUAGUCCUCUUUG
rnacentral:lncRNA from 1 species